rnacentral:snRNA from 1 species
GCACGUGCAUUCGUCCCUCUCUUU